AACUUGCGCAUGGACCACUAACAAACCAUGCACGGUUUGCAUCCCUAUCCCACAAAAUCCCUCAAAUUCCUUCUCAAAUUUCCACCUUGCACGUGAUCAUAACAGACUCACAAUUCCCUCAUUUUCCUCACACGACUCAUCACACAAACUAAAAAAAAAAACAUUAAAAACAACCGUAUCACUCUCCUCUCCCUCUAUCUCAAGUCCGUUUUACCCAAUUUCUAACGUAGAGACCAAAUAGAGCAGAUAAAUGUAAGAACCCUAAAACGAAAAUCAACAAUUAAACGCUGCUCAAGAGGAAUCUGAGCCCAAGAUGUCGGGGCUUUGAUUCCUCGUGCCUCGGGCUACAUGGUGGUAACGCACAAUGGAAGAAAAAAGCUUACCUAGGAGGCGGCGCGGUGCUCCGUUGCGAGUCGAAUUUGAAGGUAAAGAUGAACUCAGGCCAUGCUUGAGAAGAUCAUCACUUUGACAAUGGCAUUGCAACUAAGUUGAUUCUGGAUUGUUGUCAGCAGGGAUGUUACAAGCUUAGAAUGACAUGGUGAGGGAAGUUGGCAUGAGACUUUUGGCAUGAAGAUGACGAAUGCUUGGAGGCAAAGUGGGAAUCAUGAAGUUUGGUCAUGGAUAUUGAUGGAAUGGAGUUUGGACAUGAAACUUGAUAAUGCAACCUGGGGAUUAGGAUGCUUAUAGGUUUAGAGAAAUGCUACCGGAUGAUACCGUUUAAUACUGGUGGACAUUGGUUGUUGCUCGCAAUCAAUCCUAUCCGAGAAAUUGUGUAUUAUCUUGACUCGUUAGGAAAUGAUUGGACAACAUACCCGGAUAUGAAGGUCCUAAUU